GGUCUUUAUGGGGUGGCGAGUGGCGGACGGGUGAGUAACACGUAGGAAUCUGUCCUGGAGCGUGGGAUAACCCGAGGAAACUCGGGCUAAUACCACAUGAUAUCGAGAGAUCAAAAGCAGGGGACCGAAAGGCCUUGCGCUCUGGGGUGAGCCUACGUCGGAUUAGCUAGUUGGUGGGGUAAAAGCCUACCAAGGCGACGAUCCGUAGCUGGUCUGAGAGGAUGACCAGCCACACUGGGACUGAGACACGGCCCAGACUCCUACGGGAGGCAGCAGUGGGGAAUCUUGGACAAUGGGGGAAACCCUGAUCCAGCGAUGCCGCGUGUGUGAAGAAGGCCUUCGGGUUGUAAAGCACUUUAGGUGGGGAAGAAAGGUAACGAGCGAAUAACUCGUUGCUAUGACGGUACCCGCAGAAUAAGCACCGGCUAACUCUGUGCCAGCAGCCGCGGUAAUACGAAUCACUAGUGAAUUCGCGGCCGCCUGCAGGUCGACCAUAUGGGAGAGCUCCCAACGCG
rnacentral:rRNA from 1 species